rfam:Felis catus isolate Cinnamon breed Abyssinian chromosome C1, whole genome shotgun sequence.
GCCUGGGUGGCUCAGUGGGUUGAGUGUCUGACUUCACCUCAGGUCAUGAUCUCACAGCUUGUGGGUUCGAGCCCCACAUCGGGUU